UAGGGAAUCUUCGGCAAUGGGGGCAACCCUGACCGAGCAACGCCGCGUGAGUGAAGAAGGUUUUCGGAUCGUAAAGCUCUGUUGUAAGUCAAGAACGAGUGUGAGAGUGGAAAGUUCACACUGUGACGGUAGCUUACCAGAAAGGGACGGCUAACUACGUGCCAGCAGCCGCGGUAAUACGUAGGUCCCGAGCGUUGUCCGGAUUUAUUGGGCGUAAAGCGAGCGCAGGCGGUUUGAUAAGUCUGAAGUUAAAGGCUGUGGCUCAACCAUAGUUCGCUUUGGAAACUGUCAAACUUGAGUGCAGAAGGGGAGAGUGGAAUUCCAUGUGUAGCGGUGAAAUGCGUAGAUAUAUGGAGGAACACCGGUGGCGGAAGCGGCUCUCUGGUCUGUAACUGACGCUGAGGCUCGAAAGCGUGGGGAGCGAACAGGAUUAGAUACCCUGGUAGUCCACGCCGUAAACGAUGAGUGCUAGGUGUUGGAUCCUUUCCGGGAUUCAGUGCCGCAGCUAACGCAUUAAGCACUCCGCCUGGGGAGUACGACCGCAAGGUUG
rnacentral:rRNA from 1 species